rnacentral:rRNA from 1 species
UUCUAGCGGCGGACGGGUGAGUAACACGUGGGCAACCUGCCUUAUAGAGGGGAAUAGCCUUCCGAAAGGAAGAUUAAUACCGCAUAACAUUAUUGAAAGGCAUCUUUUAAUAAUCAAAGGAGUAAUCCGCUAUAAGAUGGGCCCGCGGCGCAUUAGCUAGUUGGUGAGGUAACGGCUCACCAAGGCGACGAUGCGUAGCCGACCUGAGAGGGUGAUCGGCCACAUUGGAACUGAGACACGGUCCAGACUCCUACGGGAGGCAGCAGUGGGGAAUAUUGCACAAUGGGGGAAACCCUGAUGCAGCAACGCCGCGUGAGUGAUGAAGGUCUUCGGAUUGUAAAGCUCUGUCUUUAGGGACGAUAAUGACGGUACCUAAGGAGGAAGCCACGGCUAACUACGUGCCAGCAGCCGCGGUAAUACGUAGGGGGCAAGCGUUGUCCGGAAUGACUGGGCGUAAAGGGCGUGUAGGCGGCCGAUUAAGUCCGGAGUGAAAGUCCUGCUUUCAAGGUGGGAAUUGCUUUGGAGACUGGUUGGCUUGAGUGCGGAAGAGGUAAGUGGAAUUCCCGGUGUAGCGGUGAAAUGCGUAGAGAUCGGGAGGAACACCAGUGGCGAAGGCGACUUACUGGGCCGUAACUGACGCUGAGGCGCGAAAGCGUGGGGAGCGAACAGGAUUAGAUACCCUGGUAGUCCACGCUGUAAACGAUGAAUGCUAGGUGUUGCGGGUAUCGACCCCUGCAGUGCCGCAGUAAACACAAUAAGCAUUCUGCAUGGGGAGUACGGCCGCAAGGUUGAAACUCAAAGGAAUUGACGGGGGCCCGCACAAGCAGCGGAGCAUGUUGUUUAAUUUGAAGCAACGCGAAGAACCUUACCAUGUCUUGACAUCCACUUAAAACCCAAGAGAUUGGGUGUGACUUCGGUUGAAGUGAGACAGGUGGUGCAUGGUUGUCGUCAGCUCGUGUCGUGAGAUGUUGGGUUAAGUCCCGCAACGAGCGCAACCCUUAUGAUCAGUUACUAACGGUACGGCCGAGGACUCUGAUAAGACUGCCGGGGACAACUCGGAGGAAGGUGGGGACGACGUCAAAUCAUCAUGCCCCUUAUGACCUGGGCUACACACGUAAUACAAUGGCUGUUAACAGAGGGAAGCAAUGGAGCGAUUCGGAGCAAAACCCUAAAAACAGUCUCAGUUCAGAUUGCAGGCUGCAACUCGCCUGCAUGAAGUCGGAAUUGCUAGUAAUCGCGGAUCAGCAUGCCGCAGUGAAUACGUUCCCGGGCCUUGCACUCACCGCCCGUCA